GUACUCGGUUAAGCAGCACAUAUACUAUAAUUAGAACAUACAGAACAGAUUAGCACGGCUUCUGUUCAAAGAAAACAUGCAAAAUUAUAAAGCAUUCCAUAUUUAA
ensembl:snRNA U6 U6 spliceosomal RNA